GGAUCCAGACUUUGAUUAUGGCUCAGGAUGAACGCUAGCUACAGGCUUAACACAUGCAAGUCGAGGGGAAACGAUAGAGAAAGCUUGCUUUUUCUAGGCGUCGACCGGCGCACGGGUGAGUAACGCGUAUCCAACCUGCCCACCACUUAGGAAUAACCUUGCGAAAGUAAGACUAAUACCCAAUGAUAUCUCUAGAAGACAUCUGAAGGAGAUUAAAGAUUUAUCGGUGAUGGAUGGGGAUGCGUCUGAUUAGCUUGUUGGCGGGGUAACGGCCCACCAAGGCGACGAUCAGUAGGGGUUCUGAAAGGAAGGUCCCCCACAUUGGAACUGAGACACGGUCCAAACUCCUACGGGAGGCAGCAGUGAGGAAUAUUGGUCAAUGGGCGAGAGCCUGAACCAGCCAAGUAGCGUGCAGGAUGACGGCCCUAUGGGUUGUAAACUGCUUUUAUAAGGGAAUAAAGUGAGCCUCGUGAGGCUUUUUGCAUGUACCUUAUGAAUAAGGACCGGCUAAUUCCGUGCCAGCAGCCGCGGUAAUACGGAAGGUCCGGGCGUUAUCCGGAUUUAUUGGGUUUAAAGGGAGCGUAGGCCGGAGAUUAAGCGUGUUGUGAAAUGUAGAUGCUCAACAUCUGCACUGCAGCGCGAACUGGUUUCCUUGAGUACGCACAAAGUGGGCGGAAUUCGUGGUGUAGCGGUGAAAUGCUUAGAUAUCACGAAGAACUCCGAUUGCGAAGGCAGCUCACUGGAGCGCAACUGACGCUGAAGCUCGAAAGUGCGGGUAUCGAACAGGAUUAGAUACCCUGGUAGUCCGCACGGUAAACGAUGGAUGUCCGCUGUUGGUCUGAAUAGGUCAGCGGCCAAGCGAAAGCAUUAAGCAUCCCACCUGGGGAGUACGCCGGCAACGGUGCAACUCAAAGGAAUUGACGG
rnacentral:rRNA from 1 species